CAGACGGGAAACGUCUGGCAAGUGAGGCGAGCCCAGAGGCGGGCCAUAGUGCUCCCAGGAUCCUCCCCUGCCGGCGCUUUCCGAGCGGCGAGGGACGGCGGGGGUGGAGGGUGUGCGGAAUUGGUCUGGGCCCAUGGCUGCCUCCGGGAAACUCGGCACUUUCCGUCUCCCGCCGUUGCCCACCAUUCGAGAAAUCAUUAAGUUGUUCAGGCUGAACGCAGUGAAGCAGCUGUCCCAGAAUUUUCUCCUGGACUUGAGGCUGACAGAUAAAAUUGUAAGGAAAGCUGGCAAUCUGACAAAUGCUUAUGUUUAUGAAGUGGGGCCUGGGCCAGGGGGAAUCACAAGAUCCAUUCUUAAUGCCAACGUUGCUGAGCUUUUGGUAGUUGAAAAGGAUACUCGAUUCAUUCCUGGAUUAAAGAUGCUUUCUGAGGCAGCACCUGGAAAACUGAGAAUUGUUCAUGGAGAUGUGUUGACAUUUAAGGUAGAAAGGGCUUUUCCAGAAAGUCUUAAAAGACACUGGGAGGAUGAUCCUCCAAAUGUACAUAUUAUUGGAAAUCUGCCUUUUAGUGUUUCAACUCCACUGAUUAUCAAGUGGCUUGAAAGUAUUUCUCAUAGAGACGGCCCUUUUGCUUAUGGCAGAACUCAGAUGACUUUGACUUUUCAAAAGGAGGUGGCAGAGAGACUUACAGCCAACACAGGAGGCAAACAGCGCAGUCGCCUUUCCAUCAUGGCCCAGUACCUCUGCAAUGUUAAGCACGUCUUUACGAUUCCAGGUCGAGCUUUUGUCCCCAAGCCAGAGGUGGAUGUGGGCGUGGUGCACUUCACUCCCUUGGUACAGCCCAUGAUAGAGCAGCCGUUCAAGCUGGUGGAAAAAGUCGUUCAGAAUGUAUUCCAGUUCCGAAGAAAAUACUGCCAUCGAGGGCUUGGAAUGUUAUUCCCUGAAGCACAGCGCUUAGAAAGCACGGGUAGGCUGUUACAGUGGGCGGAUGUAGACCCAACUCUUCGGCCCUGCCACCUCUCCAUGUCACACUUUAAGAGCCUCUGUGAUGUGUACAGGAAAAUGUGUGAUGAAGACCCGCACCUCUUUGCAUAUAAUUUCAGAGAAGAACUCAGGAAAAGUAAAAGUAAAACUCAAGAAAAAGACGAUGACAAGGAGAGUUACAGGCUCUAGCUGCUGCUCUGGGGGCUGGCACCCUGCUAGAUGUUGAUUUUCACAGUGUGGCGCUUUGUAUAUAUGUGUAUUCUUUUGUCUUUACAGAAUGACAGUAAAAAUACCAAUGACCAGAUGUGACUUAUUUUCCUUUUACUGUACAGCUUGGUAGAGAAAAUAAAUAUCAUCAAAUAAGGGCUGCCCCGUUUCAGAGUCUGAUGGUAGUCAUCAUCUUCAUCGCUCAGAAUAUCACUCUCUUUGAUGAGAUUGUCCACAAAAUCUGCCAAGCCGGAGUGAGGGUAUUUCCCAGGAGACGCACUCUUGGAGUCCUGCCUGCUCUCGGCCGUGUGGCAGCCGCUGCUCUGGGUGCUGCUGCUCAAGCUGCACUCAUCUGAGUCCAGUGAGUUGCCCUUGCCGGUCUCGCUGGUCCAUUCACUGCUGGAGGAAUUCUUGAGGACUUUCAAAGACCUGGAGGAAGCUACAGUGAGAAAAGCACAUUUCACCUUAUGAUUACAGAAAAAGGUUAUACAAUGUAUAAUUUUUGCCUCAUAGGUUAUAAGAUUUAACAUCUGAAUUAAGAUUUUAUUUUAUGAUCUGACUUCAAUUACUAACUACCCUGGUAUUGAGGCAAAAACACAUAGAUACUGCAAGCACGGAAGUUUUUGACUUAUGUGUAUUUAAACUUGUAUGUCAGGGGAUUCAGCAUUUUUAGAUUACUGGAGCUCGAUUAUUUGGCUGAAACUAGAAACUUUUCUAAGGGCUAUGAUUAUUUUUUUGCCAAUGAGUAAAUUGAAAAGUUAAUUACUAUUAAAAUCUAGGCUCCUUUCUUUCACUUUUUACUUAUUAUUACUCUGUAAUUUGAUAAUCAAGGUUAUACCAUAUGACACCUUCUCACCUUGUUUAUUGCCCUUGAUGCUCAAUUAAAAGUAGAAAAGUGUUAU